UACGAAGGGGGCUAGCGUUGUUCGGAAUUACUGGGCGUAAAGGGCGCGUAGGCGGCCAUUCAAGUUAGGUGUGAAAGCCCUGGGCUCAACCUAGGAAUUGCACUUGAUACUGUUUGGCUUGAGUUCGGGAGAGGUGAGUGGAAUUCCCAGUGUAGAGGUGAAAUUCGUAGAUAUUGGGAAGAACACCAGUGGCGAAGGCGGCUCACUGGACCGACACUGACGCUGAGGCGCGAAAGCGUGGGGAGCAACAGG
rnacentral:rRNA from 1 species